GAAAGGGAACAAGUGAAGCUGCCAGCAUGAUCUAAACUUGGCCAGUUAAUAAUUAUACAUAAAUAAGAGAAAUGGAUGGCCAAGGUUAGGUCAUGCUUUGACAGCCUCACUCCUUCCUCUU
rnacentral:pre_miRNA from 1 species